rnacentral:lncRNA from 13 species
GGAAGUCACAAGGAACAUAUUAUGCCCUGGAGCCUUCAGAAGCUGUGCGGCCCUGACAAAGACAUUUUGAUUUCAGACUUCUGGUCUCCAAACUGCCUCCAUGUCAGAAAUGAAGAAGGAAUCUGCAUGUUCAGACAAGAUAGACAUAUUGUCCCGCAGACACCUCCUUCAGCCUCCCAACUUAAGAAACCGAUUCUGUGGCACACAGGCUGGAAUGCAGUGGUGUCCUCAUUUGCUGCAGGCUCAAACUCCUGUGUUCAAAAGAUUCUGCUACUUCAGCCUUCCAAGAAGCUGGGACUACAGGCAUAUAUCACCGUGUCUGGAUAAAUUUUUUAUUUUGAAUUUUUUUUUGUAGAGACAGGGUCUUGCUUUGUUGACUAGGCUGGUCUUGAACUCCUAGCUUCAAGUGAUCCGCUUUCUUCAGCCUCCUAAAGUGCUGGGAUUACAGGCAUGAGCUACCACCCUUGGCCAAAAUUUUUCUUUUUUAUCAGUUUAUGUAUCAUAUUUGCUUAUUUUAAAUUGCUCAGUUUCUUAUUAGAAGUGAUUAUCACCACUAAUAUACCAAAAGUAGUUGAUACUGUGAUGUAUCACCCAAAUCCCCCUUCAGAAAUAUAGAUAUAUAAUCAGACAAAGAUUAUUUCCUUGUCUAAACUUUUUGUUGGGCUUUUGAACCUUCACCUAGGCCCAUCUGUGCACUUCCUUGUAAAAUCCUGUUUUAGCAAAGAACUCUGCUAAGUCAGUUAAGCAAGAAACUCCAUUCCCAAUAUUUGGUGAACCCUGAUAUCUGUUGAGGUUUCUUAUCCUCCACUAUUCCUCAG